GCAGGCCAGACGGUCGCCCUCAAAAGGGGAGGAAAGUCCGGGCUUCAUAGAGCAAGGGUGCCAGCUAACGACUGGUGAAGGCGACUUUAAGGAAAGUGCAACAGAAAUAAACCGCCCCGCCUUUGGCGAGGUAAGGAUGGAAAGGUGAGGUAAGAGCUCACCGCUUUGCCGGUAACGGCGAAGGCUCUGUAAACCCCACCCGAAGCAAGACCGAAUCUGGCAUUGAGGGGCUGCUCGUCCCGCCAAAGCAUGGUCGCAUGAUGACACUGGCGACAGUGUACCAAGAUAGAUGACCGUCCAAUACAGAACCCGGCUUAUAGACCUGCUUU
rnacentral:RNase_P_RNA from 1 species